GAUGAACGCUGGCGGUCUGCUUAACACAUGCAAGUCGAACGGAAUCCUUCGGGAUUUAGUGGCGGACGGGUGAGUAACGCGUGAGAAUCUGCCUUCAGGUUCGGGACAACAGCUGGAAACGGCUGCUAAUACCGGAUGUGCCGAGAGGUGAAAGCUUUAGUGCCUGAAGAUGAGCUCGCGUCUGAUUGGCUAGUAGGAGUGGUAAUGGCACCCCUAGGCGACGAUCAGUAGCUGGUCUGAGAGGAUGAUCAGCCACACUGGGACUGAGACACGGCCCAGACUCCUACGGGAGGCAGCAGUGGGGAAUUUUCCGCAAUGGGCGCAAGCCUGACGGAGCAAGACCGCGUGAGGGAAGAAGGUCUGUGGAUUGUAAACCUCUUUUGAUGGGGAAGAAGACAGUGACGGUACCCAUCGAAUCAGCCUCGGCUAACUCCGUGCCAGCAGCCGCCGCGG
rnacentral:rRNA from 1 species